rnacentral:rRNA from 1 species
CCUACGGGGGGCAGCAGUGGGGAAUAUUGGACAAUGGGCGAAAGCCUGAUCCAGCCAUGCCGCGUGUGUGAAGAAGGCCUUCGGGUUGUAAAGCACUUUCAGUGGGGAAGAAAGCCUUGGGGCUAAUACCCUCGAGGAAGGACAUCACCCACAGAAGAAGCACCGGCUAACUCCGUGCCAGCAGCCGCGGUAAUACGGAGGGUGCGAGCGUUAAUCGGAAUUACUGGGCGUAAAGCGCGCGUAGGCGGUCUGAUAAGCCGGUUGUGAAAGCCCCGGGCUCAACCUGGGAACGGCAUCCGGAACUGUCAGGCUAGAGUACAGGAGAGGAAGGUAGAAUUCCCGGUGUAGCGGUGAAAUGCGUAGAGAUCGGGAGGAAUACCAGUGGCGAAGGCGGCCUUCUGGACUGACACUGACGCUGAGGUGCGAAAGCGUGGGUAGCAAACAGGAUUAGAUACCCCAGUAGUC